rnacentral:rRNA from 1 species
UACAGAGGUCUCAAGCGUUGUUCGGAUUCAUUGGGCGUAAAGGGUGCGUAGGCGGCGCGGUAAGUCGGGUGUGAAAUCUUGGAGCUUAACUCCGAAACUGCAUUCGAUACUGCCGUGCUUGAGGACUGGAGAGGAGACUGGAAUUUACGGUGUAGCGGUGAAAUGCGUAGAUAUCAGGAGGAAUACCGGUGGUGUAGAGGGCUCUCGGGCCCGCCACUGACGCUGAGACACGAAAGCGUGGGUAGCAAACAGG